rnacentral:sRNA from 24 species
GUCAAUAACUCCGCCCUAAAAGGGACGGAGCUUGUAAAGAGCAAACUUUACGUGUUUGACUAGCCCACCGAGACAAACUGCGGUUAAAACUUCCGGAUACUUCCCCAGUUCGGACACACUUUA